AUGCACGCUGGCGGCGUGCCUAAUCCAUGCCAGUCGCGCGAACAGACGAGGAGCUUGCUCCUCUGACGUUAGCGGCGGACGGGUGAGUAACACGUGGAUAACCUACCUAUAAGACUGGGAUAACUUCGGGAAACCGGAGCUAAUACCGGAUAAUAUAUUGAACCGCAUGGUUCAAUAGUGAAAGACGGUUUUGCUGUCACUUAUAGAUGGAUCCGCGCCGCAUUAGCUAGUUGGUAAGGUAACGGCUUACCAAGGCAACGAUGCGUAGCCGACCUGAGAGGGUGAUCGGCCACACUGGAACUGAGACACGGUCCAGACUCCUACGGGAGGCAGCAGUAGGGAAUCUUCCGCAAAGGGCGAAAGCCUGACGGAGCAACGCCGCGUGAGUGAUGAAGGUCUUCGGAUCGUAAAACUCUGUUAUUAGGGAAGAACAAAUGUGUAAGUAACUAUGCACGUCUUGACGGUACCUAAUCAGAAAGCCACGGCUAACUACGUG
rnacentral:rRNA from 1 species